CUGCAAGGCAUUUGCACUGUCACCUCUGGGGUUCUUUUUUUUUGUUUUGUUUCUAAUGGACAGAAACCUGCAAGUUAACAUGUAACUUCAAAGUCAGAGCCCUCAUCAAUAGUAGGUAGCACAACCCCUAGAGAAGAUGAUCCCUGGAUGGACUUGUCAGACCAUGUUCCAGUCUAACACUGAGAGGACAUGCAGUCACCCUUUUGCUUUGUUGCUAAGUUUCAGGGGUUGAUCAUGAGCCAGGACCUGCACCAGGAGCUACAGGGAGAGGACAGAGCUGAAUCCAACAUGCCCUUGACACUCUUUGUUUCUUUGCAGAAUUGAAAGGAAAUCAAAUGGAAGUUCUGAGUGCUGGGAGAAGAGGAGCUGAGGGUGUGGGGACGUGGCAGGGAAAGGGAGGGCCAGCAAGCUGCAGUGGGCUGGAGUGAGCUCCCAGCUUCGGCUGGCUGGGCGGAGAUGAUUUCACACCACAAAAAUGUCUGAAUCAGGAGAAUAACCUAACUUGGGAUGGGGCUGGGAAGCGAGCCGUUCAGUGGGAGACGGGGGAGCUGGAGAGCUCAGCAUUGGGCCAGAUGGGGUGGCUGGCUAUGAUUUGUCCUGACCCUUGGGUCUCCCUAAUGAUCUUAGGAAAGAAACAAUUCUUCUCCCAUGCUGCAAGUGAAAGGGCAGAGUCCAGCCUCUAGAGAGAUAGCAAGAUAGACUUAGGGCUGCAACCCUGAAGAAUCAUGAAGUCUCUGCCAGCAAACUCAGGGAUUUGAGUAAGGAAUUCAGGGGAGGGAGAGAAGCAGGAGACAGAAAGAGGAGGAAAACACUGAAUUUAAUGGUCAAAAGGCCUUUAAGUUACAUGGCCUCGUGAGUUUCAAGCAUUUUAUUAGCUGCAGAAUCCUCGUUUACAAUUAACAUAGCAAAACAACAGCUGCCUCUAAGGGGUUCUCAGGAGGAUCUGAACCCCAUCAUCUUGGUUCUCAUCACCCACUGCCUGGAAACUAUAACUUAACCCAAUAGCCUCAUUUUACAAAUGAGCAAAAUGGCUGGGCACAGUGGCUCACGUCUGUAAUCCCAGCACUUUGGGAGGCUGGGGCAGGUGGAUCACUUGAAGUCAGGAGUUCGAGACCAGUCUGGCCAACAUGGUGAAACCCUGUCUCUACUAAAAAUACAAAAAUUAACUGGGCGUGGUGGCGGGUGCCUUUAAUCCCAGCUACCCGGGAAGCUGAGACAGGAGAAUUGCUUGAAUCCAGGAGGCAGAGGUUGCAGUGAGCCGAGAUCACACCAUUGCACUCCAGCCUGGGCAACCAAGUGAGACUCCAUCUCAAAAAAAAAAAAAAAAAAAAAAAAUGAGCAAAGUAAGGCCCAGAACGAGAAAAGGAUUUGCCCAUAUCAUUUAAUGAUUGGGUGAGGAGCCCAGGUCUCUCGAAUCCUUGUCCGGUGCUCAUUUUGUUUAUCUAUCUAUCUAUCUAUCUAUCUAUCUAUCUAUUUAUUUUUGAGACAGGGUCUCGCUCUGUUGCCCAGGCUGCAGUACAGUGGCAUGAUCUCAGCUCACUGCAACCUCCACCUCCUGGAUUCAAGUGAUUCUCAUGCCUCAGCCUCUUGAGUAGCUGGGAUUAGAGGCAUGCACCACCACAUCUGGCUAAUUUUAUAUUUUUAGUAGAGAAGGGGUUUCACCAUGUUGGCCAGGCUGGUCUUGAACUCCUGACCUUAGGUGAUCCCUCUGCCUUGGCCUCCCAAAGUACUGGGAUUACAGGCAUGAGCCACCGCACCUGGCAGUUUUUUUUUUCUUUCAAAUAGGGUUUCACUUUGUUGCCCAGGCUAGAGUGCAGUGGCAGGAUCACACCUCACUGCAGCCUUGACCUCCUUGGGCUCAAGUGAUCCUGCCACCUCACCCUCCUGACUAGCUGGGAUCUCAGGCCCAUGCCACACCAGGCUAAUUUUUGUAUUUUUUGUAGAGCCAGGCCUCCCUGUGUUGCCCAGGCUGGUCUUGAACUCCUGGGCUCAAGUGAUCUGCCUGCCUUGGCCUCGCAAAGUGCUCGGAUUACAGGCGUGAGCCACAGCACCUGGCCUCUGGUUUUUCCUUUCGGGGAGAUGCUGGGCUAAUAGAUGGAGUCUCUUCCUCCAGCUUCGGGGUGGACAUAGGGACUGCCAGCUGCCUGCCUGCCCAGAGUGACCAAACUGAAAGCUUCCAGCAAGCAGGCUCGAGUCUUCCGUGGCUUCUGCUUGGAUCUUGGAACUCUCCCCCUUCCCACAGAGCCCUGGAGAGCUUGCGAUGCUCUGGGUCUUUGGAUAGAUCACCCCCUCUCUCCAGGGUUCAUUUUUCUUCACCUGGAGAGCCAGUGGGCUGAAAAUAAAUGAGUGCAUUCCAAACUUUUUUUUUUUAAUUAACGAAACCGCCUUUGGAAAUGAAAUCUUACAAGACUAUACUUUCAGGGAUUAUUUGUAUAGUUCGUUACUAGAGAAGUUUCUCUGAAACGUAAAUUAAAAUUUUAUUAAAAAUUAAAAAAUAAAAACAAAGUACAAAUAAAAAUAAAAAAGAAAUGAAAUUUUAGACAAAAGCCCAAUAUUUCAAACAGACAAAGGCAGUUCUGUCGUGGUUGAAGCAAGGACGGACGAGGGGUCUGAAGAUCCGCCUCCUUGGCCUUCUUUCUGUCCUCUUAAGACUGCUGCAUGAAACUCCCAGAGCUCCACAGAAUGCAGUUGGAAACUGACAUGGGAAAUCUCGAAGAAUCAUGACAAGAAGCUCCUGUCUGAGGAAAGGUACAGGAGCCAGGAGUGGGAGAGAUGACAUGAAGCCGCAGUGCUGGAUCAGCCUCAGAUGACAGUGAGGGCUGCCUUGUCUCAGGCAGUGGAGAAGAAGAGACGGGUGGGGGAAGGGGAUGGGGCUGAGCUGCUUAGUCCAGAUCGCCCUUCCUCGUCAGCCAUCUGCCCCAGCCCAGAGACCCCAGAGGACGGAGCGUUCAGGCUACCUCUCAGGCUGACUGAGUCAUGCAGCAUAGGCUGCCACGUCUCUGGGCUGGCGGGGCCGUCAUUAUUCCUGGCCUCACUGCAGCUAAAUUGAAGAAACGUUUGGUUUGUGGGCCACGUCAAGGAAUGUGUAAGAGCUGCCACGUUGUCGGGUCUGGGUUAUUGGGCUUUUCCCCUCCUUCAGAGAAGAUUUCCAGGCGUGUGGGUGGGGUUUCAGAAGAAAAUUGAUGCCUGCGUGUGAGUGUUCCCUGGACCUGGACCAGCAGCGGCAAUAUUACAGACCCGGGGGUUGGGGCAGACUGAGCCAAUCUGGUGCCGAGCUCCUCCGACCCUCCCCAGAGCAGCAGGGAGCCCUGCACCGUCAAAGUUAUGGAUACAGAGCCCUGGAAAAAGGCUGAAGGGCUGUGAAACCAAUAGUACAAAUCUUUAACCUUUGGAGAGUGAUUGGCCACAUCAAGAGCCGAAGGUGUUUUCUCAGUGUGGUUUAAUAAAAAGAGCAGUAGGUCGAAGAGUUAGUUAGCUUGAGUCAAGCCCCAGCUCUGCUAUUUAUUGGCCGGGAGACCCAGGCCAGCUCACUUUACCUUUCUGAACCUCAGUUUCUUCUUCAAACGAGGGUGUUGGAGCAAAUAAACAUUCCCCCAAGGAGUUUGUUAGGAAACGAAGUUCUGUGGAAUGCAUUAAAAAUUCAUGAAAAAGAGGACUCUGUGAUAGCUUUAACAGAGUUCAACAGGUUUCUUUUCAGCAGACAUUUUCAGAGCUUUUAAGGUUUCAAGGUGCCUCAGGAAUAUCCACGAGGAAGGUAGUGAGUGCUGCAUUUCACAAACGUGCUUGAACCCAGGGUCCCCCUAUCUUUCUGGAAUAUGUUAUAGGACUAAUAUUUUGUGAAACACACUUUGGAAAAUGUUGAAUUAGAUAAUCUACUUAUAAGAUAGCUGACAUUUAUGAAGUGCUUCAUUCAUGUAGCAGUGGGCCAAAUGCGUUACAUAUAUGAUCUCAUUUAAUCCUCACAAGCACCUCACAAGAACUUUACACUUGAGGAAGCUGAGGCUGGAGGUUGAUAACAUGCCUCAAGUCUUCUAGAGUUAAAUAACUUUGACCCAGGACCCAAGCCCAGAGUUCUGACUCAAAAACUAGGCCUCCUAAACAUCCUCUUAUAUUUGCUGACUCCCUAAAAUCUAUGUUCACUUGAAUCUUACACUGACUUUGUACCCAGGAGAGUGAAAUAUUUUAAUCAUGCUCAUUUUACAGAUAAGAACACUCAGGUUUGGAAAGGAAAAGUGAGCUGCUUAAGGUCAGAGUAUAAGCAGGGCCUCAGGGCACAGGUCCUACUAAGGGAAGAACCCAAAUCAGAACUCAAAUGAGUGCUUCUUUCUCCUCGGGUGAUGCUAUGGUUGGAACAUGUACCCCUAAAAGCAUGUGUUGAAAACUUAAUCCUCAAUGCAGCAGUGUUGGGAGGUGGGGCCUAUCGGGAGAUGCUUAGGUCAUGAGGGCUCUGCCCUUACGAGUUGAUUAACAUCAAUUAGGGUUUGAGGUUGCAAGUUCUAUCUCUUGCUCUCUUUCUCUCCCUCUCUUUGCCCUUCUACCAUGGCAUGAUACAGCAUGAAGACCUUUGCCAGAUGCUAGUCCUCAAUCUUGGACUUCCCAGCUCCAGAAUCAUGAGCCAUUAAAUUUCUGUUUAUUAUAAAUCACCCAGUUCCAGGUAUUCUGUUAUAACAACACAAAAACAGACUAAGACCAGUGGGUUUGUGUCAACAUGUCAACAUGAAAAGGUGCAGCCAACGCAUUAUUAACAUUUGUCACCUCAGUGGAGAGGGAGCCUCUGUGAGAAGGCGGUGCCUUGGUAAACUCUUACUGGGACCCUGGGUGGAGGCAGUGGGUGCAGUGGAAAGAGUCUUGACUGUUAAGAGUUUGGGAGCUUUCAUUUCAGCCCCACCAUGGGCCAACUGUGUGACUUUGGGCAAGUCUGUCUGUCUGCCCGCCCAAGCCCAAAAUGGGCUUAGUGAAUCCUGACCUUUCUACUUUGUAGACUAAAUGUGCCACUCAAUAAGAUUAGGGUGAUAAAAGUCCUUUGUGGGCCAGACACGGUAGCUCACGCCUGUAAUCCCAGUACUUUGGGAGGCUGAGGUGGGCAGAUCACUAGGUUAGGAGUUCAAGACUAGCCUGGCCAACUUGGUGAAACCCUGCCUCUACUAAAAAAUACAAAAAAUUAGCCAGGCCUGGUGGCACACGCCUGUAAUCCUAGCUACUCAGGAGGCUGAGGCAGGAGAAUUGCUUGAACCCAGGAGGUGGAGGAUGCAGUGAGCCAAGAUUGUGCGACUAUGCUCCAGCCUGGGUGACAGAACGAGACUCCGUCUCAGAAAAAAAAAAAAAAAAAGUCCUUUGUGAGCUACAAAGAGCUAAAGGAGAAACCUUCAACUGCUCAGUGGGUGUGUUGCAAGUGGGGAGGGUGCUGAGGUUAAAUUUCAUCUUCCUCUGUUUGGCCUUGGCCUGGUUGGUGGAUGCUCUGCUUCGGGGACCCAGGGCCAGAUGACAAUGGGUUCUUUGUGCCCUUCAGACAAUGGGAAGGGCUGCCUGGGGAAAGAUACAGUAACAAGGCAACAGGCUGAGUCAGCCUCCAAUGUGCUUGAACCUUCUUAGCUUGGCAGCCUUGACAUUCAGCCAGCCACACAAAGGGUAUAUUUGAGAGUUCUGAUACAUAAUCCCCAUCCCAAAGAGGUCAGCCUGCCCAGUCCCUCCCUCCGGAGAUUUGGAACAGGCCAGAGCUGGCUUCAGCCUGGGAGAGAGAGGCCCCAGGCCUAGCUGUCCACACUGUAACCUUGGGCUCUUUAAACCUCAAUUUUCCCAGCCACACAUGGAAAAUCUGGGAUUGAAUAGGGCUAAAGGGCCCUGUCAGUUCUAAGCUUUGAAAAAAUAGAAGCGAUCCAAUCUGAGCUUGAAGGAUGAAUGGGUUUGGGUUUGGGGCCAGUGGGGGCAGGGAGGCAGCCAUGGCCAGAAGGGCAGAAUGGGCAGUUGAGUACCUGGGGAAGUCAUGGAGAGAGGGCUCUGGAGUGGAGCUACCUGUGUGUGUUCCUGGCUUCUCCACUGUGGGACCUUGACCAAGUGAUUUAGUUCUCAGAACUUUUCUUUACUCAUCUUUAAAAUGAGAAUGGUAAUUGUACCCAUCUAUGGUAGACAAAGUAAUGGCCCCUCCAAAGAUGGACGUGCCCUAAUCCUCAGAACCUAUAAACAGGCUAUCUUACAUGGCAGAGGGGGCUUUGCAGAUUAAUUUAAGGAUUUAAAGGUGGGAAGAUUAUUUUAGGUUAUUUAGGUGGGCCCAAUGUAAUGACAAGGGUUCUUAAAAGUUGAAGGCCAGAGGGUCAAAGUCAGGAAAAGAUGUCAAGGCAGAAGCAGAGUUGGAGUGAUGUGCUUAGAAGACAGAGUGAGGGUUCACAAGCCAAGGAAUGAGGGUGGCCUCUAGAAACUGAAAAAGGUAAGAAAAUAGGCAGGGCACAGUGGCUUAUGCCUGUAAUCCCAGCACUUUGGGAGGCCCAGGCAGGCAGAUCACCUGAGGUCAGGAGUUUGAGACCAGCCUGACCAAAAUGGAGAAACCCUGUCUCUACUAAAAAUACAAAAUUAGCCAGAUGUGGUGGCACAUGCCUGUAAUCCCAGCUACUCUCGAGGCUGAGGCAGGAGAAUUGCUUGAACCCGGGAGGUGGAGGUGGCGGUGCGGCAAGAUUGCACCAUUGCACUCUAGCAUGGGCAUCAAGAGUGAAACUCUGUCUCAAAAAACAAAACAACAACAACAAAAAGGUAAGGAAACAGAUUCUUUCCUCAACAGAUUCAUCCUUCCUCCGGAAGGAACCCAACGACACCUUGAUUUUAGGACUUCUG
rnacentral:lncRNA from 10 species